CUUCUUUGAUGACACGAUGACUAGUCUGACCAGGUCUCAUACUGGUUCUGGUUUUGACUGGUUCAGUUUCACGUUUUGUGGCUCUGCUCCAGUCAGUCAGACCGGUGGGAUCAUUAGUUGAAGACAUCGAGGCAUUUGUCUGAGAAGG